UAAGGAAUAUUGGUCAAUGGACGCAAGUCUGAACCAGCCAUGCCGCGUGCAGGAUGACGGCCCUAUGGGUUGUAAACUGCUUUUGUCAGGGAAUAAAUCGCGUUACGUGUAAUGCGUUGAAGGUACCUGAAGAAUAAGGAUCGGCUAACUCCGUGCCAGCAGCCGCGGUAAUACGGAGGAUCCAAGCGUUAUCCGGAUUUAUUGGGUUUAAAGGGUGCGUAGGCGGCGAAUUAAGUCAGAGGUGAAAGCCUGCAGCUCAACUGUAGAACUGCCUUUGAUACUGGUUCGCUUGAGUACAGAUGAAGUGGGCGGAAUGUGACAAGUAGCGGUGAAAUGCAUAGAUAUGUCACAGAACACCGAUUGCGAAGGCAGCUCACUAAAGUGUAACUGACGCUGAGGCACGAAAGCGUGGGGAUCAAACAGGAUUAGAUACCCUGGUAGUCCACGCCCUAAACGAUGAUUACUCGCUGUCGGCGAUAUACAGUCGGCGGCUAAGCGAAAGCGUUAAGUAAUCCACCUGGGGAGUACGGUCGCAAGAUUGA
rnacentral:rRNA from 1 species